AGUGAACGCUGGCGGUAGGCCUAACACAUGCAAGUCGAACGGCAGCACAGUAAGAGCUUGCUCUUACGGGUGGCGAGUGGCGGACGGGUGAGGAAUACAUCGGAAUCUACUUUUUCGUGGGGGAUAACGUAGGGAAACUUACGCUAAUACCGCAUACGACCUACGGGUGAAAGCAGGGGAUCUUCGGACCUUGCGCGAUUGAAUGAGCCGAUGUCGGUUUAGCUAGUUGGCGGGGUAAAGGCCCACCAAGGCGACGAUCCGUAGCUGGUCUGAGAGGAUGAUCAGCCACACUGGAACUGAGACACGGUCCAGACUCCUACGGGAGGCAGCAGUGGGGAAUAUUGGACAACGGGCGCAAGCCUGAUCCAGCCAUACCGCGUGGGUGAAGAAGGCCUUCGGGUUGUAAAGCCCUUUUGUUGGGAAAGAAAAGCAGCAGGUUAAUACCCCGCUGUUCUGACGGUACCCAAAGAAUAAGCACCGGCUAACUUCGUG
rnacentral:rRNA from 1 species